UUUAAAACAUUUUAAAGUCAACUUCAAAUGUACUGUAAAAUUUAAAAAUUCUAAAAAGGUGAAAGUAUUUUGAUUAUCAUGUACUUUUAUCAACAUUAAUAUAUACAAGAGUUCCAUAUCACAUCAAUCGUAGGAGCAUGGUAACGAUUUGAGCUAAAUUUAAUUUUCUCGAUCCUUUUUCGUUGUAACAAUGCUUAAUAAAGGUUUUCUAAAUUAUAAUCGAAGUUUGAAUGUCAGCUGUCGAGUUGUAAGCCAGUGUGCGCGGGAAAAAGAACGUUGUCUACGUCCCAUAAUGCUCUCUAAUGGAUUCACCCGUGGUGCUAUGCCAAAAUGGCCGACUUUUAACUUAACUUAACUUAACUUUUAACUUAAUUUACGGUGUCUUAAAGAUUGAAGACACGUUUUGAGUACCGCAUAUGCUUUGGCGAGACUCAAAAGAUUUGUUACACACAAUCCCAAUGUUUUCCACAUGUGCUCUUUUAGAUAUCUGUUUCUCUGAGGAUUGACACAGAAUGACCGAGGUCUACUGUAGCACAGGUGCCCUGACGUUCAAAGAUGGGAACUUUAUCCUGGACGGGAAACCCCUGCGGAUCUUUAGCGGGACCAUGCACUACUUCCGGGUAGUUCCGGCCUACUGGAGGGACCGCUUCCGGAAGAUGAGGGCGUGUGGACUUAACACCGUGGAAACGAUGGGAGCAGGUUAGAGAUCUUGGUGGAGAACCACGGGCGAGUGAAUUAUAUUGAGUAUGGUUCCAAUAGAUUCAACGAAGAGAGGAAAGGUAUUUGUGGAUCUGUAAAAUUGGAUGAAAAGGAAAUCAAGCAAUGGCGAAUUUUUCCGUUAGAUUUCAAAUCCAAAUUCCUUGACAGCCUCCGUCGUUGUUCCAAUAUGAAGUCUCCCGUGGAGGGUGUGAGGGGACCACUAGUCGCCAAGACAACGUUACAUAUAGAUUCGUCUCCAUGCGAUACUUUUCUUGAUAUGAAGGGUUGGAAUAAAGGCAUUGUAAUAGUGAACAACUUUAACUUGGGGAGAUACUGGAAAGUAGGGCCGACAAGGACCCUGUACAUUCCAGCUCCGCUGCUGAAACAGGGUCAAAAU